UUUCCGUAGGUGAACCCGCGGAAGGAUCAUUCAUAAUAAGUGUUUUACUGCACUUUUUAAAAAUAGUACUCACCUUGUGUGCAAUAUUGUGUUUCUUUUCGGAAAAACACCUACACCAACCUAUAACCUUGAACUACUUUGUCUGAAAAACUAUUAUUAAUACUUAAUUCAAAAUACAACUUUCAACAACGGAUCUCUUGGCUCUC
rnacentral:misc_RNA from 1 species